UGGUGGGUAGUUUGACUGGGGCGGUCUCCUCCCAAAGAGUAACGGAGGAGCACGAAGGUUGGCUAAUCCUGGUCGGACAUCAGGAGGUUAGUGCAAUGGCAUAAGCCAGCUUGACUGCGAGCGUGACGGCGCGAGCAGGUGCGAAAGCAGGUCAUAGUGAUCCGGUGGUUCUGAAUGGAAGGGCCAUCGCUCAACGGAUAAAAGGUACUCCGGGGAUAACAGGCUGAUACCGCCCAAGAGUUCAUAUCGACGGCGGUGUUUGGCACCUCGAUGUCGGCUCAUCACAUCCUGGGGCUGAAGUAGGUCCCAAGGGUAUGGCUGUUCGCCAUUUAAAGUGGUACGCGAGCUGGGUUUAGAACGUCGUGAGACAGUUCGGUCCCUAUCUGCCGUGGGCGCUGGAGAACUGAGGGGGGCUGCUCCUAGUACGAGAGGACCGGAGUGGACGCAUCACUGGUGUUCGGGUUGUCAUGCCAAUGGCACUGCCCGGUAGCUAAAUGCGGAAGAGAUAAGUGCUGAAAGCAUCUAAGCACGAAACUUGCCCCGAGAUGAGUUCUCCCUGAG
rnacentral:rRNA from 1 species